rnacentral:rRNA from 1 species
UACGUAGGGGGCUAGCGUUGUCCGGAAUCAUUGGGCGUAAAGAGCGCGUAGGCGGCCAGAUAAGUCCGGUGUGAGAGUCACAGGCUCAACCUGUGAAUGCCGCUGGAAACUGUCUGGCUAGAGUCCGGAAGGGGCGAGUGGAAUUCCUGGUGUAGCGGUGAAAUGCGCAGAUAUCAGGAGGAACACCAAUGGCGAAGGCAGCUCGCUGGAACGGUACUGACGCUGUGGCGCGAAAGCGUGGGGAGCGAACAGG